AACGAACGCUGGCGGCAUGCCUAACACAUGCCAGUCGAACGAGACCUUCGGGUCUAGUGGCGCACGGGUGCGUAACGCGUGGGAAUCUACCCUCAGGUUCGGAAUAACUCAGAGAAAUUUGAGCUAAUACCGGAUGAUGACUUAAGUCCAAAGAUUUAUCGCCUGAGGAUGAGCCCGCGUAGGAUUAGGUAGUUGGUGAGGUAAAGGCUCACCAAGCCGACGAUCCUUAGCUGGUCUGAGAGGAUGAUCAGCCACACUGGGACUGAGACACGGCCCAGACUCCUACGGGAGGCAGCAGUGGGGAAUAUUGGACAAUGGGCGAAAGCCUGAUCCAGCAAUGCCGCGUGAGUGAUGAAGGCCUUAGGGUUGUAAAGCUCUUUUACCCGGGAUGAUAAUGACAGUACCGGGAGAAUAAGCUCCGGCUAACUCCGUG
rnacentral:rRNA from 1 species